rnacentral:rRNA from 2 species
GAGCUUGCUCCCUGAGAUUAGCGGCGGACGGGUGAGUAACACGUGGGCAACCUGCCUAUAAGACUGGGAUAACUUCGGGAAACCGGAGCUAAUACCGGAUACGUUCUUUUCUCGCAUGAGAGAAGAUGGAAAGACGGUUUACGCUGUCACUUAUAGAUGGGCCCGCGGCGCAUUAGCUAGUUGGUGAGGUAAUGGCUCACCAAGGCGACGAUGCGUAGCCGACCUGAGAGGGUGAUCGGCCACACUGGGACUGAGACACGGCCCAGACUCCUACGGGAGGCAGCAGUAGGGAAUCUUCCGCAAUGGACGAAAGUCUGACGGAGCAACGCCGCGUGAACGAAGAAGGCCUUCGGGUCGUAAAGUUCUGUUGUUAGGGAAGAACAAGUACCAGAGUAACUGCUGGUACCUUGACGGUACCUAACCAGAAAGCCACGGCUAACUACGUGCCAGCAGCCGCGGUAAUACGUAGGUGGCAAGCGUUGUCCGGAAUUAUUGGGCGUAAAGCGCGCGCAGGUGGUUCCUUAAGUCUGAUGUGAAAGCCCACGGCUCAACCGUGGAGGGUCAUUGGAAACUGGGGAACUUGAGUGCAGAAGAGGAAAG